rnacentral:rRNA from 1 species
CACUGUCACUCCUACGGGGAGGCAGCAGUGGGGAAUAUUGCACAAUGGGCGCAAGCCUGAUGCAGCCAUGCCGCGUGUGUGAAGAAGGCCUUCGGGUUGUAAAGCACUUUCAGUCAGGAGGAAAGGUUAGUAGUUAAUACCUGCUAGCUGUGACGUUACUGACAGAAGAAGCACCGGCUAACUCCGUGCCAGCAGCCGCGGUAAUACGGAGGGUGCGAGCGUUAAUCGGAAUUACUGGGCGUAAAGCGUACGCAGGCGGUUUGUUAAGCGAGAUGUGAAAGCCCCGGGCUUAACCUGGGAACUGCAUUUCGAACUGGCAAACUAGAGUGUGAUAGAGGGUGGUAGAAUUUCAGGUGUAGCGGUGAAAUGCGUAGAGAUCUGAAGGAAUACCGAUGGCGAAGGCAGCCACCUGGGUCAACACUGACGCUCAUGUACGAAAGCGUGGGGAGCAAACAGGAUUAGAUACCCUGGUAG